GACAGAGGUGGCAAGCGUUGUUCGGAUUUACUGGGCGUAAAGAGUGCGUAGGUGGUGAGGUAAGACCUGUGGGAAAGACCUGGGCUUAACCCAGGAAGGUCGCAAGUGACUGCCUCGCUUGAGGACGGGAGAGGAGAGCGGAAUUCCCGGUGUAGCGGUGAAAUGCGUAGAGAUCGGGAAGAAGGCCGGUGGCGAAGGCGGCUCACUGGCCCGGUACUGACGCUGAGGUGCGAAAGCGUGGGGAGCAAACAGG
rnacentral:rRNA from 1 species